ACGCACGCUGGCGGCGUGCCUAAUCCAUGCAAGUAGCACGCUGAAGGAGGAGCUUGCUCUUCUGGAUGAGUUGCGAACGGGUGAGUAACGCGUAGGUAACCUGCCUGGUAGCGGGGGAUAACUAUUGGAAACGAUAGCUAAUACCGCAUAACAGUAGAUGUUGCAUGACAUUUGCUUAAAAGGUGCAAUUGCACCACUACCAGAUGGACCUGCGUUGUAUUAGCUAGUUGGUGGGGUAACGGCUCACCAAGGCGACGAUACAUAGCCGACCUGAGAGGGUGAUCGGCCACACUGGGACUGAGACACGGCCCAGACUCCUACGGGAGGCAGCAGUAGGGAAUCUUCGGCAAUGGACGGAAGUCUGACCGAGCAACGCCGCGUGAGUGAAGAAGGUUUUCGGAUCGUAAAGCUCUGUUGUAAGAGAAGAACGAGUGUGAGAGUGGAAAGUUCACACUGUGACGGUAUCUUACCAGAAAGGGACGGCUAACUACGUG
rnacentral:rRNA from 1 species